rnacentral:rRNA from 1 species
UAAGAUUCCUACGGGAGGCUGCAGUGGGGAAUUUUAUUCAGUGGGCGCAAGCCUUAUCCCGCAAUUCCGCGUGCAGGAAGAAGGCCUUCGGGUUGUAAACGGCUCUUGUUCGGAGCAAAAAGGCUCUUUCUAAUGCAGGGGGCUCAUGUCGGUACCGUAAGAAUAAGCACCGCACUAACACGUGCCAGCAGCCGAGGUAAUACGUAGGGUGCAAGCGUUAAUCGGAACUCCUGGGCGUAAAGCGUGCGCAGACGGUUUUGUAAGUCUGCCGUGAAAUCCCCGGGCUCAACCUGGGAAUUGGGUUGGAGACUGCAAGGCUGGAGUGUGGCAGAGGGGGGUAGAAUUUCACGUGUAGCAGUGAAAUGCUUAGAGAUGUGGAGGAACACCGAUGGCGAAGGCAGCCCCC